CCUACGGGUGGCAGCAGUGAGGAAUAUUGGUCAAUGGACGCAAGUCUGAACCAGCCAUGCCGCGUGCAGGAAGACGGCUCUAUGAGUUGUAAACUGCUUUUGUACGAGGGUAAACGCAGACACGCGUAUCUUUCUGCAAGUACUUUACGAAUAAGGAUCGGCUAACUCCGUGCCAGCAGCCGCGGUAAUACGGAGGAUUCAAGCGUUAUCCGGAUUUAUUGGGUUUAAAGGGUGCGUAGACGGUCGGUUAAGUUAGUGGUGAAAGCUCGAGGCUCAACCUUGAAAUUGCAACUGAUACUGGUAGUCUUGAGAGCAGUUGCGGUAGGCGGAAUGUAUGGUGUAGCGGUGAAAUGCUUAGAGAUCAUACAGAACCCCGAUUGCGAAGGCAGCUUACCAAGCUGCUUCUGACAUUGAGGCUCGAAAGCGUGGGGAGCAAACAGGAUUAGAUACCCGUGUAGUC
rnacentral:rRNA from 1 species